UACGUAGGGUGCGAGCGUUAAUCGGAAUUACUGGGCGUAAAGCGUGCGCAGGCGGUUCGCUGUGUCCUGUGUGAAAUCCCCGGGCUUAACCUGGGAAUGGCAUGGGAAACUGGCGAGCUUGAGUGCGGCAGAGGGGGGUGGAAUUCCGCGUGUAGCAGUGAAAUGCGUAGAGAUGCGGAGGAACACCGAUGGCGAAGGCAGCCCCCUGGGUCGACACUGACGCUCAGGCACGAAAGCGUGGGGAGCAAACAGG
rnacentral:rRNA from 1 species